rnacentral:rRNA from 1 species
AUUGAACGCUGGCGGCAGGCCUAACACAUGCAAGUCGAGCGGCAGCGGGAAAGUAGCUUGCUACUUUUGCCGGCGAGCGGCGGACGGGUGAGUAAUGCCGGGGAAAUUGCCCAGUCGAGGGUGAUAACAGUUGGAAACGACUGCUAAUACCGCAUACGCCCUACGGGGGAAAGCAGGGGACCUUCGGGCCUUGCGCGAUAGGAUAUGCCCAGGUGGGAUUAGCUAGUUGGUGAGGUAAUGGCUCACCAAGGCGACGAGCCCUAGCUGGGCUGGGAGGAGGAUGAGCCACACUGGAACUGAGACACGGUCCAGACUCAUACGGGAGGCAGCAGUGGGGAAUAUUGCACAAUGGGGGAAACCCUGAUGCAGCCAUGCCGCGGGUGUGAAGAAGGCCUUCGGGUUGUAAAGCACUUUCAGCGAGGAGGAAAGGUUGAUGCCUAAUACGUAUCAACUGUGACGUUACUCGCAGAAGAAGCACCGGCUAACUCCGUGCCAGCAGCCGCCGUAAAAC